rnacentral:rRNA from 1 species
GAGUUUGAUCCUGGCUCAGGAUGAACGCUGGCGGCGUGCCUAACACAUGCAAGUCGAGCGAUUCUCUUCGGAGAAGAGCGGCGGACGGGUGAGUAACGCGUGGGUAACCUGCCUCAUACAGGGGGAUAACAGUUAGAAAUGACUGCUAAUACCGCAUAAGACCACAGCACCGCAUGGUGCAGGGGUAAAAACUCCGGUGGUAUGAGAUGGACCCGCGUCUGAUUAGGCAGUUGGUGGGGUAACGGCCUACCAAGCCGACGAUCAGUAGCCGACCUGAGAGGGUGACCGGCCACAUUGGGACUGAGACACGGCCCAAACUCCUACGGGAGGCAGCAGUGGGGAAUAUUGCACAAUGGGGGAAACCCUGAUGCAGCGACGCCGCGUGAGCGAUGAAGUAUUUCGGUAUGUAAAGCUCUAUCAGCAGGGAAGAAAAUGACGGUACCUGACUAAGAAGCACCGGCUAAAUACGUGCCAGCCGCCGCGGUAAUAC